rnacentral:lncRNA from 1 species
AAUAAAUUGUAUACGGUAUAUCAAACAAUCACAUAUUAUAGCAUUGCAUAUGUUAUAAUAACAAAAUUAUAUAGAACAAGAUCCGAAUUAUUGAGUAAAGUUACAGAAAAACUGACAAAUUUGGAGAUUGAGACUUGUAUUUCCUUGUUAUUUCACAAAGUUCUGUGUGUAAAAUUAUCUUUUAUGUAUGGUGUAUCGGAACCAUUAUCUUGGUUCCUCAAUAAGACUCCAGCAUGAUUAGUGUGGGGCAACAUCUUCUAUUGCCCUCCGUUCAGGACUUGUAACUUGUUGCCUAAAUUGAUAGUUGAUCCAUAAUAUAUAGUAGCACAAACAUUUUCUUUUGAAAAGAAAAAAAAAGGAGGAACAUUGUCGAGCAGGAGAAAUUGUUACAAAUGAGAUGCUUAGGCUGUUGAUAGAGGUGUUCGACUCAUCCUCAACAUGGGCUGUUGUUUGUGGUCCGAAUUUGAUUUGUUUAUAAUAGUUGUGUUGGAAUAAUUGGGGUCUAAUUGCUAUAUUAAAUUACAUAAAAAUUUAAGAAAUAAUUCAUGCAAUUAUAUAUUAAAAUUAAUGCAUGCACAUGAGUAACCAAUGCUAAAUGAACAUGACAUAUUUGAUUAGAAAAACCUAGGAAAUACGGUCGAGGCAAGUGUUAGAUACUUUGUCCUUAAGACAAGUUUACGCCCCACUACGGUGCUCAUGAUUGAUCGGUACAUGUCUCCCAAGAUACAACGACCACGUUCUUGUAAUAGUAGCACUCAAAAUCACAAGGCUCCAUGAACCACAAUUGUGU